GAUUGUUUGAAUUACACUUAAAAUUAUUUGUUUUAUUAUGUUUUUUUAGCUAUGCUGACCGCGCCAAGAACAUCAAAUGCAAUGCUGUCAUCAAUGAGGAUCCCAACAAUAAGCUGGUGCGCGAACUGAAGGAUGAAGUGGCCCGGCUGAAGGAACUGCUCCGUGCCCAGGGCCUGGGAGACAUUCUGGACAUUGAUCCUAUGGGGGAUGAUUGUCCAGGAAGUGGAAUCAAAUCAGGUGACGGUGCCCAAAGCUUUAAAAUGCCCCUUCUGAGUUCUCAAACUGAGGCUCAGAGCUACAGACGGAAAGGUGCUUAAUUUUUGUAUUUCUAUAUAGAGGCACCAGAGGUGUUUGUGUAAAGAUUUGACUAACUUUGUGCACUUUAGUAGUUAGUAGAGUGACUAGUUUGCUAGUGUGCUUUCUGUUGUAUUCUCAAGCAUCCCUAACAUCUUAACCUUAAAAAUGUUUCUGCACCAUCUGAUGCGCAGGGCAAAUAGUUAACUAGCUGCUAUAGUUGGGUGUGUUUUUGGAGAAAAAAAGCCCAUAUCUCAAGAAAGUCAUCAUCCCCCAGAAUAUUUACCCUUUUCUAAUAUCACUUUGAUUUAGUUUGGUCCUUAAAGAGCUCACUUGUGUGUUGCCUCAGAGGCCCUUGAGGUCAUUAUAUUGACAUGAGCUACCUGACCUUUGAGUGAGGCUGCUGUGGCUUUUGUUAUGGCGGAUGCUGUGUGCGUAUGGCGCGUGUGCUGUGAAUUAAUCUAAUCAACUCCAGGCUGAACUUUCUUUGCCAGCAUGUGUCCACGUCUCUCCUCUGUCCUCCUGCUGGACCUUCUUGCAGUCUCCAUCUCCCUCCCAUCCUGUAGCCGAUACUCGUGAUAGCAGUUUUCACACAGUG